GAUGAAGAACGCAGUGAAAUGCGAUAAGUAAUGUGAAUUGCAGAAUUCAGUGAAUCAUCGAAUCUUUGAACGCACAUUGCGCCCCCUGGUAUUCCGGGGGGCAUGCCUGUCCGAGCGUCAUUACUGCCCUCAAGCGCGGCUUGUGUGUUGGGCCCUCGUCCCCCCCGGGGGACGUGCCCGAAAGGCAGUGGCGGCGCCGUGCCCGGACCUCGAGCGUAUGGGGCUUUGUCACCCGCUCUGGAGACCCGGCCGGCGGCCGUCGGACCACCCCAACCUUUUUAACCGGUUGACCUCGGAUCAGGCAGGGAUACCCGCUGAACUUAAGCAUAUCAAUAAGCGGAGGA
rnacentral:misc_RNA from 1 species